rnacentral:lncRNA from 1 species
UUUUUAAUAUUUUUUUUUAAAUUUAUUUGAGGGACAGAGAGCAAGAGAGAGUGCAAGCAGCAGGAAGGAGCAGGAAACCUGACUCCAGGCUCCAUCCCAGGAACCUAGGACCACGACCUGAGAAAGGCAGAUGUUUAACUCACUGAGCCACCCAGGUGCACCAGUAUGGUGAGAGUUAAGGAGAGCUUCUGCAGAAUAAGGAACAUAAAACAGUCAAAGGACAGUCCAUUACUAAUUCUACACUUUUCAACAGGCUAGCAGUUGCUGCGCUGGCUCUGUUACACUGUGGCAAUCCUUUGGCUAGAAGACCUGGCUGCUGGCUAUAAUAUUCUAAGGGCCUUUGUUGGCCUCCAUGCCUUUGGGUUAAAACACCUGAGGCAUUGCCUCUGCGUUUAUAAAUGAAAAGAAAAAAGAAUAACUUACAACUUGAAUGUUUCAAUGUCAGAGGGUCAGGUGAAACAAUCCAGGGUCUUAAAUAUCACUUCAGUUUCUGCCCACUCAUCUCAAGUCAGAGUCAACUAAAGGUAAUCUUGGGGUGGGGUGGUUUGACAUCUCUUCCAGCCACUUUAUUCAUAUAUGUGAGAUUUCUUUCACCUGGAUGUUCACUUGGUGUCUCCCCAUUUGUUUAUUGUUUGUGUCUCACACUAUCUUUAGGUAUGUAUAACUGUAUGUGCAUACCUCUGUGUGAGCCUACGUGUGAUUGUGUGUGUGUGUGUGUGUGUGUGUGUGUGUGAUUUGUUUGUUUAUAGGACCCAGGAAUGAUUUUGUCCUAGCCUGAAUACAUGCCUUCUUAUUGUAGUUUGACCAGUUUUGAGUUUUACUUAAAAGUUUGGAAGGUCUGGGACGCCUGGGUAGCUCAGCAGUUGAGCAUCUGCCUUUGGCUCAGGGCAUGAUCCCGGAGUUCCGGGAUCGAGUCCCACAUCAGGCUUCCUGUGAGGAGCCUGCUUCUCCCUCUGUCUGUGUCUCUGCCUCUCUCUGUGUCUCUCAUGAAUAAAUAAAUAAAAUCUUAAAAAAAAAAAGUUCA